UCUGAUGUUUGGCUGUGGGUUUCAGCUU
rnacentral:piRNA from 1 species